ensembl:lncRNA
AAAUAGUUUUCCACAUUUCUGUUAAAAGCAUCUGACACUCACAUCUUCUACCACUUCUGUCUUAGGACACAUUAGUGAACUCCUACUAAUGACUUCAAAGAAAAAUAUUAAUUAUAACCCCAUGAAGAAGCUAGGCAAGCAAUCUUCCAGUAUCCCUGAAUUAACAUGGAUAUCUCAGGAAGAUGAAGAAAAAUACAGAGCUCUAACCGAGAUCACCAGUCACAGUCGCAGACUCCCUUCCUGCCACCAGAAAACUACAUCAACAUUCCCACCAUCUCCCUACAUAUGGAGAAAAUCAACCCCCAGGGAUCCCAGGAACUCCAGCCAUUUAAUGAGAAGCUCAAAUAUCUGCAUGGUACAAGACUUGAAGAUUCCACAGAAGGACUGGGAGUAACUAAAUCCACAGUUGCAGCACCUUCUAUACAGAAGAAGGAGAAACAGAUAAGAGGGAGAUCCCAUGGGUUGAAGAAACUAAUUGGGAAACAGGUCACUAAGGCAGCCCACCAUGAAUAGAAAUAACCACCGGCAUAAUAAAUAAUG